rnacentral:rRNA from 1 species
UACGUAGGGGGCAAGCGUUGUCCGGAUUUAUUGGGCGUAAAGAGCGUGUAGGCGGUUAGGUAGGUCCGUUGUGAAAACUCGAGGCUCAACCUCGAGACGCCGAUGGAAACCCCCUAACUAGAGUCCGGAAGAGGAGAGUGGAAUUCCUGGUGUAGCGGUGAAAUGCGUAGAGAUCGGAAAGAACACCAACGGCGAAAGCACUCUGCUGGGCCGACACUGACACUGAGAGACGAAAGCUAGGGGAGCGAAUGGG